AUGCCCACAAGAAGAUCUAUGAACCCUUCUCCCCACUCAGCCAGCCUUUCUGCUUUUUCUGGCCCCAUUGCAGAGCACAGUAAAACCACCUGGAUCACUGCAGUCCGCUCUUGGGAGCAGAGUGUGUGGAAGUGGGACCAUUACCACUGCGGGGGACACAUCAGCUCUGCAGGCUGCUCACCGUGUACCAGGGCUGAAGAGCUUGUUCUGGGACGCUGGGGCUGCUGGCGGUGCCAGCGCUACAGGCCAAAGGGAAGCACACUGAGGACAGCCGUCCAAGCCUCCUGUCACUUGGGCCGUGUGCUUUCUCUUGGCAGCUCAGCCCUGAUGAAACAGAUCUUUCUUUGUUUUGAUGCGCACAUAAAUUUCUGUAUCCUUAUCACAAUAAAGACUUCUGAACUGAUGCCAAAGUUUUCUCACUGUUUUCCAGAGAAUGGGAAGUUGCCAAUACUGGAGUGGAGCUUUUGGCAUAAAGGAUGGAAAAGUCUUGAGGCAAGAUUUCCUCUCUUGCCAGUUUCCUGCUGCCCUCUCCAUCUGAUUUUAAAUUCCUGGUGGAUGGGCAGCAUUCACUCCUGGCAAGGAGAUGCACUGUGUACCUCUUCUCCAUCUGGGCACCUCCCUAGGGGCAGUCUCUCUCCUAGGAAGGCUGCUAAUGCCCAAAUCGCAUCUCCUUUGUUGAGUUUUAUCCUGACCUCCCUGGAAAUGUCUCCUGAGACAUCUUGUGCACUCCUGUUCUCUGCUGCCACAUGCUGAAAGACUAAGGUCCUCUGUUCCCCUCUUAUUCCCUCCCCCAUAGCAAGAACCCCUGGCUUCACACGAGAGCUGCAGCCCCACCACCACCAGCUGAAGGACAUGAGGCCUGUGUCCCUUGGUCCCUGGGACAUAUGUCCGUGUGGCUCUGCAUGCAUGCACAGCUGUAGCUUAGCCAAGGCAAACGUAUUUUGUGUGUGUGUGUUCUUUAUAAGUACACUCCCCAAUAUGCUCAUUUUUAUGGCUCUUAACUUGAACUUUCCUCAGAUUUUCCAAUCUUCCUCUUGUAACAAUAUGGUCAGAAUUAAAACCAGUGCACCAGGUGGAGUGUUUCCAGUGUCGGCUCUGAAGGGAUCGUCUCCUUCCUGCCUGUGACCUGCCACCUCAGCGAGCAAGUGCAAUAUGGGGGGAGCCUGGGGCUCACAUUCACAUUCCUCCCACUCCCGCUGCUGUGGCACUGUGCAUUCCU
rnacentral:lncRNA from 1 species